UUCCUGUAGUAAAAUAUUACAGGUAGGCCCUGCCCUAUGUAUUUAUAAAUGGCCGCAGUACCCUAACUGUGCUAAGGUAGCAUAAUCAUUUGUCUUUUAAUUAAAGACUAGAAUGAAUGGGUUAACACAAUAAUCACUGUAUCUACUAGACCACUAAAAACUUUACUUUUGGUGAAAAUACCAAAAUAAGCAUAAAGGACAAGAAGACCCUGUAGAGCUUUAGUUUUUAACUUUAAUUGGGGCGAUUAUGGACACACACAAAACUUCCAUCACUAACAAGAUAUACAAAUCAUUCUCUGACCCUCUAGGUUCAAAGAAUAAGCUACCUCAGGGUUAACAGGCUUAAAUUCUUUAAGAGUCCAUAUUGACAAGAUUUUUUGGCACCUCGAUGUUGGCUUAACAAUCUAGUUUCUGCAACAGGAAACCCAGAAGGUUUGUUCACCCUUUAAUACGUUACA
rnacentral:rRNA from 1 species